GGUGACUCAGUGGUAGAGUGCUUGUCUUGCAUGCAUGAGGCCUUGGGUUUGAUUCCUCAGCACCA
rnacentral:tRNA from 1 species